UGUGAAAUACAAUGGAUAAUCUCCCUGCUCAAAGAUUUCAGACUUGACAUAUCUCUUCCUGCUCUUCUCUUUUGUGAUAACAAUGCAGCAAUCCAUAUCUCAGAGAAUCCUGUGUUCCAUGAACGCACCAAACAUGUGGAAAUUGAUUGCCACAUCGUCCGAGAGAAACUCACCAAUGGCAUCCUCAAACUCAAUCAUGUCCCUUCAAAAAUGAACCUAGCUGAUAUCUUUACUAAACCCCUUUUCCCUGCUCAUUUCAAUGAGAUUAUUUCCAAGAUGGGUGUAAAAGAUUUUUACACUCCAUCUUGAAGGGGGCUGUUAAGUUAGUUAGUUCAUUUAGGGUAUUCUGUUAUAACAAGUUGUUAUUCUGUUAUUUACCAAUUGUAUUGUUUCUCUGCCUAUAUAAGGCUUUCCUUUCAUUAUUGUAUUUUAUCCAAUUCAUAAUAAAGGGAAUCGUUACUCUCUCUCUCUCUCGCUCUGUAUCUUCUCUAAUAAUUCUUCCAUUCUCUCUCUCAUUGAAUUUUCUUUUGACAGAAUAUAACUUGGUUGAAAUUAUCCAACAAACAACAAUGACAAAAGCUUUUUUAAUUUUGAGAGGUGGGGGAGUCUUUGGUAGAAAGGAAAAGCAAGAGUAUUGAGAGCAUGGAGGCCAAAAGAAUUAAAUCUCAACAUUGGACUUCCUUGGUGUAAUGGCAUUGUUUUUAAAGAUAAUAAAUCAACAGUUUUAGCAACUUUAGAGCUCUUCCAGUCAUCAUCACAAGGUCCAGAUUUUUCUUGCUUAACAAACCUAGAUCCAAGAACACCAUUAUUUAUUGACUUAGUAUCUGAAUCAUUGAACUGAGAAAAGCUCCCCCACUACAACCACCGCCACCUCCUCCUCCGUUACCACCACUGCCCUCAUGAUGAGAAGGAGGACCCACAACCAUCACUCAUUUCCCUCCAUUUCUUGCCUGAGAGACUUUGCUGAGAGCCAGACAAACGAAAGAGGAGGAGAGAGGAAAAAGAGAAAAAAUCUUUCUAAUUGAGCUUUCAUUCAAAACUCAAAACCCACUGAAAUUAUCUUUCUUGCUUCACUAAAAAAAAUCCCAAAAGCUUCACUCAAUGAAAAUUUCAAAAUUCAUCACUCAUUUAUUCACUCAAAGACUAAAACAAGUGUCUAAAAUAGUGCAAAUCAAUAUAAUAAAGACUACUCAUUUUUUUACAA